rnacentral:lncRNA from 1 species
CUUUUUUUAAAAACUUUCUUCCAGAUGCCUGUGGUCUGUCUGAUGUAGCCCACGUGGAAAGUUUGCAGGAAAAGUCCCAGUGUGCUUUGGAAGAGUACGUUAGGAGCCAGUACCCCAACCAGCCAACACGGUUCGGAAAGCUUUUGCUUCGUCUCCCUUCCCUCCGCACGGUCUCCUCCUCAGUCAUAGAGCAAUUGUUUUUCGUCCGUUUGGUAGGUAAAACCCCCAUCGAAACCCUCAUCCGGGAUAUGUUACUGUCCGGCAGCAGUUUUAACUGGCCAUACAUGGCAAUUCAAUAAAUAAAUAAAUCAAAAUAAGGGGGAGUGAAACAGAGAAAGAAAAGGCAAAAGACUGGUUUUUGUUUGCUUAAUUUCCUU